AAGGAGCUUGCACUUGAGGCUUUCUGAUUCUCCUGCAUUGCCUCUGUAUCAAGCUUUGCCUGAUAUCAAGCUCAAGAUUGAGGGGUUUAAGGAGAAACAAGCCGAAGAAGAAGUCAGUGCUGGUUUGAUUGAGGUUAAGGAGAGUGAAAAGAAAGAUGGUGAGGGGUCAGGGAAUAAAAAAGGGAAGAAGAAUAAAUGGAGGAUUCAUGAAGUUAGAUAUAUGGACUUUGACACAGGUGUAGAUGAAUUGGAGUGAUGAUGAUGUUGGUAUUAUCAUAGAAAAUAUAAAAGAANNNNNNNNNNNNNNNNNNNNNNNNNNNNNNNNNNNNNNNNNNNNNNNNNNNNNNNUUUUGCCUGAUAUCAAGCUCAAGAUUGAGGGGUUUAAGGAGAAACAAGCCGAAGAAGAAGUGAGUGGUGGUUUGGUUGAGGUUAAGGAGAGUCAAAAGAAAGCUGAUGAGGGGUCAGGGAAUAAGAAGGGGAAGAAGAAUAAAGGGAGGAUUCACGAAGUUAGAUAUAUGGACUUUGACACUGGUGUAGAUGAAUUGGAGAGUGAUGAUGAUGUUGGUAUUAUCACAGAAAAUGUUGGCAAUGAUGCAGAAGGGGACAACAAUGAUAAAUAUAUUGAGGAGAGCGAGGACGAUGGAGUUAAGAAAGCAAAGAAGAGGAAAAUUGAGAAGAAAGCGAAAAAGUUGAAAAAUGCUGAGAAACAGAAGAAGAGUAAGUUGUCUUAUGAUGGGAAUUUGAUCACUUGGUAAAAGGUUGAAGGGACCGCUCACGUGGCGUGUAUCCAUGGUGUCUUAUUAUGGCGUUGUAUGUUGUUUCCUGGUUCAUCACGUGGAAAGUUAUUUCCAGCAUGACUCCUCAUGUUAGGAAGUUGAUCCUGCUUGAAAUAUUUUUGAAAGGACGCUCGAAAAGGGAAAGGAACAACAAUGAUGAUGAUAUCGAGGAGAGCGAGGAUGAUGGAGAUGAGAAAGCAAAGAAGAGGAAAACUGAGAAGAAAGCGAAAAAGUUGAAAAAUGCUGAGAAGCAUGGUGAUGUUCUGAGUGAGUUGAAUGGUGAGAAGAAGACCAAGAAGUUGAAAAGUGCUGAGAAACAGAAGAAGAGUAAGUUGUCUUUGAAAGAUGGAAAGAAGAAUAAGAAGACCAGUGAGGUUGGGAAAAAACUGAAAGAUGGAAGCUUCAGCUGAUUCUUUCUAUCCUGAAGUCUUCAGCAGGCAUUGCCCGCAGACUCUUUCACAAGUCUCUUGUUUUACUUUUCGUAUUUAUUUUGUUAUCAAUUUUGAUUUUGAAUGAACCCGUAGUUCAAAUACUGACCUGCUGUGAGUAGCUGGCUCUUCUAUGUUAAUCAAAGAUAUGUUAUUUUAUUUAAAGCUCUCACUUCUAGUCUUUAAUGAUGCUUAGAGAUUCUGUGGCAU
rnacentral:lncRNA from 1 species